GCUCACUUAUGUGGCAUAUACUAAGAUUGAAAUCACACAGAGAAGAUUAGUAUGGCCCCUGUGCAGGGAUGACAGGCAGAUUUGUAAAGUGUUCCAUAUUUUC